rnacentral:lncRNA from 1 species
UUUCAACUUUAUUGAUGUGUAAAAAUAAAAUUAAAAUGUUAUUAUUGAUGUAUACUAUGCUGUGAGAAAGAGAGGUUAAAAAAAAUUGUGGUUAGGACUAGAAGAAAAAUCGCGAUUUGGAAUUAAACUUCCUGGUGCAAGCUUCGUAAAUUAGGGUGUCAAGGUGAAGAACAAACAGCGUAUACGAUCUGGACAUCAUCUUUGCGCCUUCCCCAUUGCCGGGAAAUUCCAGAGGCCAAAUCUAAAAGAUUUGUAUACGAUAUGGACAUCAUUUUUGCGCCUCCCAAUAUAAUACCCAAUCCUACAAAACUCCUUCACUCUGCAAAAUCAAAGAAAACAACAGCAAACAAAAACCCAUUAAUCAUUGAAGGCACAAGAACAACCUAACACAUAGCCUUCAAACCCAAACACACACAUUUUCAUACAUCAACAUGUGAGAACUGGAUUCAUUAAGUGAUAAAUAACGAAACACAUAUUCCAAUCUUAGAUACUAUGCAAAAGCCCCAAAUUCUUGACCGCCAAAAUAGGUUACAUCACAUUGAGCACAAGAACAAACACCCUUUACAAGGGUUUCAAAAAAAUUGGGAUUAGGUUUUAAAAAAUCCCCUUCCUCACCAAAAAUUAGGGUUUCAAGUUGGGGAAGGGGCUCUUUGUCGUUCAACAUCGUCUUGCACGCGGGAAAGGAGGCGCGACCUGCUUGUUGUCUUUCUGAUGCAGGUUGAAUUGCGAUGGCUUCUCCAAGGCGCGACAAGGUGGCAUGGUGGAAGGGAGAAGACGAGAUACAAUGCAAAGAUGGUGGAGUCGCGAUUUGGGGUUCUGUUCUUUUGCAGGUGCGUUAAUGGUGGAGGAUGAAGGAAUCCCGACUGGGAUUUCGCAGUGGUAACGACACUUUUUGUUUCUGAUUUUGGUUGUAGGUGGUGGAGAAGCUACGAGAUGGUGGUGAUGGUUGAAGAUCGAUUCACCGCUGUUGAUGGCGCGACGACGCUUUGGGUAGUGAAGCGAUGAGGUUCUCGCCUUCUGCGUUUCUGCAGGUUGCGCUCUGCUGAUGGCGCGACGACGUUAGGUGGCAUGACUCCUGAUGGCGGCAGCACGACGAGUCGCAAUGUGGUUGCCGGCGUCUAGGUGGUUGCUGAGGGUCGCUGGGUGGCUGCCAUGAAGGUGGUGCAAUGAAGAAUUUUUUAUAACCUAACCUCAUUUUUUUUAACCUAAUCCCA